rnacentral:rRNA from 1 species
UUUGCCCAUAUUUCUACGGGAAGCAGCAGUGAGGAAUUUUUCACAAUGGACGAAAGUCUGAUGGAGCAAUACCAUGUGAACGAUGAAGGUCUUCUGAUUGUAAAGUUCUUUUAUUUAGGAAAAAAAGCUUGAGAGGAAAUGAUUAAGCCUUGAUUGUACUAAAUGAAUAAGUGACAGCUAACUAUGUGCCAGCAGCUGCGGUAAAACAUAGGUCACGAGCAUUAUCCGGAUUUAUUGGGCGUAAAGGAAGCGUAGGCGGACAAAUUGAUCUAUUGUUAAAGGCACUUGCUCAACGAGUUGUUUGUGAUAGAUAUCGUUUGUCUAGAAUUAGUUAGGAGAUACUGGAAUUCAAUGUGUAGCGGUGGAAUGCGUAGAUAUAUUGAGGAACACCAGAGGCUAAGGCGAGUAUCUAGGACAUAAUUGACGCUGAGGCUUGAAAGCGUGGGGAGCAAAUGGGAUUAGAUACCCCAGUAGUCCACGCCGUAAACGAUGGGUAUUAGGUAUUUGGUUUAGGACUGAGUGCUGUAGCUAACGCGUUAAAUACCCCGCCUGGGUAGUAUAUAUGCAAAUAGAUUCAAAAAAU